CCCUUAGAUGUUCUGGGCUGCACGCGCGCUACACUGAUGCGUUCAACGAGUUUAUAACCUUGCCCGAUAGGGUUGGGUAAUCUUUUGAAAACGCAUCGUGAUGGGGAUAGAUUAUUGUAAUUAUUAAUCUUCAACGAGGAAUUCCUAGUAAGCGCGAAUCAUCAGUUCGUGCUGAUUACGUCCCUGCCCUUUGUACACACCGCCCGUCGCACCUACCGAUUGAAUGGUCCGGUGAGAAUUCUGGACUGUGGCGUAGCAGCUUUCACGAGAGGCUACGCCGUGGGAAGUUAUUCAAACCUUACCAUUUAGAGGAAGGUGAAGUCGUAACA
rnacentral:rRNA from 1 species